AUAUUUCAAAUGUAUUGAGUAUAUUUUGGGACUUGUGACUUUCUGCAGUUGUCCACAGAGCAUCCCAAAGGCAUGUUUAAAGUACUUUAAGCAAUUAAUUUAGUGUUUAUUUUAAAACACUUACGAGAGAUACAGCACAAUAGAAGAGAACAUUGGCCAUGAUCUGUGGUUUCAUUUCCAGUAUAUUCAAUGGAGAGUGUAGUUUGUAUUAUCCUUUUCUAGAACAAAUUGCCUUUACUUGUGCUAAAUGUGCAGGUAUGUACAGUUGAGCAUCUGUAGUCAUUAUGUUUUAAUUUGUGGACAUUUUUACUUGUGUGUAUAAAUUGGGAGCUGCAAACUAGAACUCAGAGAUUCACGUGCCCAGUUUUGAGGACAUGUAUCUCCAGUUUUGGUGGUAUGAGUACCUGAACAUUUUAAAGAUAACAGAGAGAAGAGGGAUGAUUGCAAGUUGUUGAAAUAUGUAAGUGGAAGGGUAGAAAUGUUGAAGACUGUGAAUAGCUUUACUUUCUUUCCCGUGAGUGAAUUCUGUAGGUUGUAAUAAAAGACCAAGUGUAUGUUGGGAUGAGUGAGUAAUUCAGGGAACUGUCAUGUCUCUCUCCCACUCAGCCUGUGGAAUCCACACUCAGGGACAGUCAGCUGAUCUUGGCUGCAGGGCAGGAGAGGGGAAGUUCCCAGCUAACCUGGUGCACACACAGUUAAAAAUGUUUACUUAUUGCUUCAAAGGCAUCACAGUGAGCUCUCACACUGGGUUCCAGUAGACAUCAUAAAAAGUUAGUUUGUGAAUGUGCAGACACAAAAGGAAAAAGGCUUAGUAAAUAAAACACCAGUCUUGCAAGUAAUUCUCAAUAUGGUGUUUGGUUUAUGCACUUGAUAUUUUCAGGUAUGUUCUACUCAAGUGUAACUUCCUUUAUAGGUAAUGCCAAAGCCCCUGAAGCUCUUCAGUUCAAAAGUUAAAAUAGCUUGAUGCAGCAAGGAAGCAAAGUUUUGACAUCUAGAAUGACAGCCUGGGUGAAGAAUCUCAGAUGGAGAAGAUGCAUGCAGGGGGAAUUUGCUUUCAAAACUGGACUUCUGCAGGACUUGGUUCUCUUCUCACAGUUGUGUAGGCCAAGUGCAACCCAUGACAGAAUCCUUCACAGUGAGUGACAUCAGUUCCUCAUAAAGUUAUUAUUUAGUCAUAGUUCUGUAUUUCCAGUUGGUAAGAUCAUGGAGGGGAAUGUGGUGUUUGAAGAGAAAAUCUUCCUGCUGCUGUGUUCUUCUGUGGGACAUUGCCAUGUUUCAGUUGUCCUAGAUUUUAGUCAACCAUUUGAGCUCACAGUCAGCUCAAAUUUAUCUCCUUUGGCUCAGAUGUGUCUGUGUAAUCUGCAGCCCCUGCUGCAGUUGUUAACAACUGGCAGAAAGACAGGGCUGAAGGACGGGGGGGAAAGUCUUUCUGACCACUCCGGUAGGGUUUGUCAGGCCUUGUCUCUUAAUGCCAUGGGUGUUGGUUUUGUCUAAACUUUGGGCUUAAGGCUUUAUUAGGGCCAUUAGAUGGGAGAAAAGACCUUCAUAGAUCUGUGAAGGGAUGCUUACUGUAUUUCCACCCUGGACAUAUUAGAUGUCUGUACAAACUAAUUCUUAUCUCUGCCAUUUCACAGCCCAGGCCUAAUCAGGGCAGGACAGACUAACAGUAAAUAGAUGAUACUGGCUGUAAGUUGAGUUUCUGGAGGAGAUGGCUCAGGCCAUGGAGGUCAGUGGGGCCAGAUGUGUAAAAAAACUCCUUUUUGUAGGCUCAAGCAGCAUGAUGACAGCAAAGCUGGCUGUCCUCAGCCUUUAACUGGAAACGGUAUCUGUUCCCUAAUGGAGGCAAGUUGUAAAUUCACAGAUGGUCUAUAAUUACCCUUAACUAACACUCUGAAGGUAAUAAGUGGAGCCUCACCCCCCUCCCGCUUUCCCCUCCUCCACAGGUGUCCAAUGUGGUUAUUUACACCUGUGAAGAGUGAGUAAGAAAAUAGGUAUAAAAUCCUGUCAUUCAGGUUUGGCAGUGUUUAACAACCUUGUAAAUGAGUAUUCAAAUCUUCAGGUGGAAGAUUGAGUACUCUUUCCAAUUUUUUUUUUAAUCCUCACUUUUUAUGCUCUUUUUCCAUCCUGAAUAGAGUACCUAGAGUGAUCAUGCACAGUGAUGCUUCAGUGGGGAACUUUUUACGAGGGGUAAAUUUAAAAAUUAUUUAGGACAUCUUUUGAUUUCAUCAACCACUCACAAGAACACUGUGUAGCAAAGUAGUGUGCACAGAUACUCCUUAGGGAAUAGGACAGAUGAGUUGAACUGUAUUUUCAUUAGGAAAACGUACUCCUUUUUAUAUCUAUGCAAGUAUUAAAUAUUAUCAAUUCUAAUGCUCUCGUGAAACCCUUUGGCACUCAGCCUUGCCAGGGUUAUCACUGGGAUUUUGGUCAAGAGUAAGGAUUUUAGGACUGCACUGAUAUGCGUUCAUGAACCUCAUUCUUGUCAGUUUACUGUUUGCUAUUUUCUUAAGUGUUUGUCCUAAUUUAAAAUUUGAGAAAUUCUGUAAAGUUGGAAGAAAAUUGAGAGAGUUGCCUGUGUUAGUGGUUAAAAAAUUCCAGUAAUUUUUUGCAUUUUUAUGGUGUGCUUUCAUUUUCUUGGUAAGAAAAAUGUUCUCUGAGUGAGGGUUAAAUGCAUUCUUGACACUUGAUUCCCUCCCCUGCCUGCUGACUCACCAUUUCAUUGGCACACAGCCAUGGUACAGUUGUGGAGUGUGUUUACCAAGUGCUUGAAUCACAAAUGGAGAGUUGUUGGAUUUUCUGAUACUUGAAAUGGUUGGGAAAAGUUUUAGCCUUUCAAAUCAGCCAUAUUGCAGACUGUUCCUUUAAAGCUCAGUUUUGAUAUUUGAGUAUCUUUCUGGAUGAAAAGCAUUUAUUUAAAAAGCGCCAUUUAGAAGGAGACAGUGUCUUUGUGUUCUAACUAGAGACAGCCAUGUAUGGAAGAUGAGUCCUACCAGGUCUAAUGUGCUUUGGGUUGUUCCUUUCCAACUGGCAUCACAUUAGCAUCCAGGAAAAUAAGUCUGCUUCAUCCUGCUACAUGUAAAUACAUGAAGAAUAAAACGUGCUGUUUUUCUGGUCUGAUGAAGGCAGGCACAUCCCAGUGCUGGGGAUGGGGUGGGUGUUAUCAGCACCAUGUCUGGGGCUUGCUCUCAGAAAUGAAGGGAGGAUUCGAGUCAAGCAGUCACCAGCUCUGCACCCCACAGUCCAACCAGAAGGAUGCUGCUAAUCUGACCUUUGCCCUUGGAGCAAGAGCAUCCAUCGGCAGUGCAGCCAGCAGGAGUUUGGAGUUGGUGCUCAUUUUGAGUCUAAUGGGCAAAAAGUAGAUUUGAAGGGAAUUGUUUGCCAGAGUCUGAGCCCCUGACAAAGUUGCCGCAGAUGCAUACAAAAUAAACAAGUAAGAGGCUAAAAUAAUGCAGAUCUUGAAUAAUUAGGCAUGGGAAGAGUUUAAUGUGAAUUCCUGUAUUCAUUUAAUGAAAGUGAAUACCCCAGAGCCUCGUGGGCAGCAUAAGGAGAAACCAGGCGUCUGGAAGGACAGCAGUAGGAAAUUGCUGAUCUUUUUGGAGUAAUAGAUAGCGUAGUACUUAUUUACAGACACAUCAGAAACACAUUUCUGGAUGACUGUGAAUAACUUAUUUCUAGAUGAUAGUAAUUAACUCAAUUCUAACAAGUCAAGAUUGCUGCUUAGUGUUUAAAUCAUUUUUCAUUCUAGAAACUCCAAUGUUAGAUGGCAGCUUUUUAUCUCACAUCUUAGGAAGCAGCAGCAGUUCAACAGCCCUCGUUUCAAACAUGACUCCUGGUUGCAAAGAGCAUUUUCACUUUUCUCUUUACAGUUGUUCACCAAUAUAUUUCUGUGUAUGACCAAUGUAUAAAAUCAGUUUCACAGAUGUGUUAUACAGUCAUCCAGAAUUCAAAUUGAUAAAUGUGACUGAAGGGUUGAGGAACAUUAAAACACAGCACGGCAUGACUUUCUACUAACAGGAGUCAGCAAUAACACUGUAAACGUUGAAAUUUAUACAAGACUUCAUAGACACUGCUGUUAAAUUUUGAACUAAUGGAACCCUUCCUCCAAUGCUAAUUAUGUGUUUCUCAUCAGAGCACUUUAUCUUUUGAAGAGAUGGCUACAAGAUAUUCCUGUACUAUCACUGUGAAGGAGUUUGCUGUGGUAUCUGUCAGCCACUGGGUUUAUCUAGAAGCAGGCGAAGUCAAGAGGAGGAUCUCCACUGAUGCUGGUGGCUCUUGACUUAGAAUCAUGGGGUUUGUUCAAGUGACACCAGUGUCAGGAAGUGAUAAGGAAAGGUGAUAGAGUUUAACAUAGAAUUUUUAAAGUUACUAAAGGUUUCAUUUUCUCAAAAUGAAAAUUGCCUUCUUUCUCCCAUAGUACUCUUAACUGUUCCAGAUGAAAAUUACUGAGUAACACCAGAUGGACUUAAUAAUUGGAAUUUAACAAAGUUUUUAACAGUUCUAUUUUUAUUAUAUAUCUGUAAUGAGCAAAUUUGUGAAACCAAGGAAAGAGUAUAAAUUAAAGCAAAGUGGUGCUAACACAGUUCAAAUGGUUUGAAUUCUACAGGGGGUUUUUAGUGUGGCUUUCUUAGUAAUCUGAAACUCGCCAUGCUAUGACUGGAGAUUGGUUUUGAGGUUAAGUCAGAGUUGUGAAGAGAUGCAUUAUGUUUGAUUAAAUUUUUCUUCUGAGGUGGUUUCAUGACAAAUAAGACACCCAAGGAGAGGUGAAUUCCUGAAGUCAAUAUGUCCAGAAUCAAACCUGACUUUUUCCUUUGCAAGCAAACUGUCCCCUAGUCCAACUUCUGACAAUUGUUUUGCUUUGAAAUCCCCCAGUGUUUAAAAUUGUCUGCUUUUUUUCCACAUGCUUUCAUUUGCUUUCAGAACCUCUCCUUGUUCUUGCCAUAUGCAAUAUUAUUUCUGUUAUUCAAAAUCAGAAGUGGUACAUCUUAGUGUAUGUAGAGCUUUGACCUGUUUUUAUAUCUUAAUUGGGAUUAAUACCUUCCUGUUCUUUUAAAACAUGCAAUUAAUUCUUUAUAUCUACUUAACAUGUUCCUUUUCCAUUUAAUUUGUAUAUUAAUGUGCUGUAAAAAGGAUUGACAUUUGAAAAAGCUUGAACCCUCCCCAAACACUUGGAUGAAGUUUUUAAUUUUAAAGAAUUUUUGCUUUCUUUUAAAAAUGAGUUAUUUAAAAUAAAAUUCCCAUGUUGACAA